rnacentral:rRNA from 1 species
AGAGUUUGAUCCUGGCUCAGAUUGAACGCUGGCGGCAUGCCUAACACAUGCAAGUCGAACGGCAGCACAGUGGAGCUUGCUCCAUGGGUGGCGAGUGGCGGACGGGUGAGGAAUACAUCGGGACCUGCCCAGACGUGGGGGAUAACGUAGGGAAACUUACGCUAAUACCGCAUACGUCCUACGGGAGAAAGCGGGGGAUCGCAAGACCUCGCGCGGUUGGAUGGACCGAUGUUCGAUUAGCUAGUUGGUAGGGUAAAGGCCUACCAAGGCGACGAUCGAUAGCUGGUCUGAGAGGAUGAUCAGCCACACUGGGACUGAGACACGGCCCAGACUCCUACGGGAGGCAGCAGUGGGGAAUAUUGGACAAUGGGCGAAAGCCUGAUCCAGCAAUGCCGCGUGUGUGAAGAAGGCCUUCGGGUUGUAAAGCACUUUUAUCAGGAGCGAAAUACGACGGGCUAAUACCCCGUUGGGCUGACGGUACCUGAGGAAUAAGCACCGGCUAACUUCGUGCCAGCAGCCGCGGUAAUACGAAGGGUGCAAGCGUUAAUCGGAAUUACUGGGCGUAAAGCGUGCGUAGGCGGUCUUUUAAGUCUGCUGUGAAAUCCCCGGGCUCAACCUGGGAAUGGCAGUGGAUACUGGGAGGCUAGAGUGUGAGAGAGGAUGGUGGAAUUCCCGGUGUAGCGGUGAAAUGCGUAGAGAUCGGGAGGAACAUCAGUGGCGAAGGCGGCCAUCUGGCUCAACACUGACGCUGAGGCACGAAAGCGUGGGGAGCAAACAGGAUUAGAUACCCCCGUAGUCC